UUGAAGGUUCAUUGGAUCUGAAGAAAAUAGACCACAAGACAUGCUACAGCUGUUAGAGUGCAGAUGUUCCUGGAAGUCUCUUCUUCCUAAAAAAUUCUGAAAAUGAACGGACCUUUGGGAGCAUCUUAGGACUGAAAGUGCAGCAAAAUCAUCCUCUGGAAUGUGUGUGAUGGGUGUUGGUUAAAUAUUCCUUGAGAAUUUGCUUUUAAAAUGCAUUUUGGUUACAAAAUAAACCU